UCUCACUUUAGAAAGGACACUGAGGUGCUGGAGUAUGGCCAAAGAAGGGUAACAAGGAAGUUUUUGGGAACUCUGUCUCAAGAAGCAGACUUGUGGAUAUCCUGGUUUCAUUUCACACGGGAAAAUUGGCUGCUUUCCCUUCACAGAUGGUGGUUCUUAGGCCACCAUAGAUAGAGACUGCUUAGUCAAAGACUAUUUAAGAGAGUCAAUGCUCACAACCAUUACCACAAUGAGCAUGUGUAGUCAGGAGCAGGCUGAUGUGUUCUUCAAUUCAGCUUGAAAUAUAUGCUUUGCAGUCUGGCAAAGGCAAGUGACAGAGCUACAGAAAAUAGCAGCGGGAAUGCAUGCCAAGCAGCUCCUGUUUCCUGAAGAGAAUGUGAAGAAUGAUCAGGACCAACCACACACAAAAGAAAAAG